CAUGAGUCUCAUUAACCAAUUUAGACAAUGACCUACUUUUCAGCCGAUCCGAAUUUUCUCGUGUGAAAGUGAAAAGAGACACUACAAACAACUAUGGUAACACUCAAUUCCAAUUCCUUGUUUACUCAGAAAAUGGUAUAUUACAAAUUCAUUUUCAU